UGUGAGCUCGAUGAGUAGGGCGGGACACGUGGUAUCCUGUCUGAAUAUGGGGGGACCAUCCUCCAAGGCUAAAUACUCCUGACUGACCGAUAGUGAACCAGUACCGUGAGGGAAAGGCGAAAAGAACCCCGGCGAGGGGAGUGAAAAAGAACCUGAAACCGUGUACGUACAAGCAGUGGGAGCCUCUUUUAUGGGGUGACUGCGUACCUUUUGUAUAAUGGGUCAGCGACUUAUAUUCUGUAGCAAGGUUAACCGAAUAGGGGAGCCGAAGGGAAACCGAGUCUUAACUGGGCGUUAAGUUGCAGGGUAUAGACCCGAAACCCGGUGAUCUAGCCAUGGGCAGGUUGAAGGUUGGGUAACACUAACUGGAGGACCGAACCGACUAAUGUUGAAAAAUUAGCGGAUGACUUGUGGCUGGGGGUGAAAGGCCAAUCAAACCGGGAGAUAGCUGGUUCUCCCCGAAAGCUAUUUAGGUAGCGCCUCGUGAAUUCAUCUCCGGGGGUAGAGCACUGUUUCGGCAAGGGGGUCAUCCCGACUUACCAACCCGAUGCAAACUGCGAAUACCGGAGAAUGUUAUCACGGGAGACACACGGCGGGUGCUAACGUCCGUCGUGAAGAGGGAAACAACCCAGACCGCCAGCUAAGGUCCCAAAGUCAUGGUUAAGUGGGAAACGAUGUGGGAAGGCCCAGACAGCCAGGAUGUUGGCUUAGAAGCAGCCAUCAUUUAAAGAAAGCGUAAUAGCUCACUGGUCGAGUCGGCCUGCGCGGAAGAUGUAACGGGGCUAAACCAUGCACCGAAGCUGCGGCAGCGACGCUUAUGCGUUGUUGGGUAGGGGAGCGUUCUGUAAGCCUGUGAAGGUGUGCUGUGAGGCAUGCUGGAGGUAUCAGAAGUGCGAAUGCUGACAUAAGUAACGAUAAAGCGGGUGAAAAGCCCGCUCGCCGGAAGACCAAGGGUUCCUGUCCAACGUUAAUCGGGGCAGGGUGAGUCGACCCCUAAGGCGAGGCCGAAAGGCGUAGUCGAUGGGAAACAGGUUAAUAUUCCUGUACUUGGUGUUACUGCGAAGGGGGGACGGAGAAGGCUAUGUUGGCCGGGCGACGGUUGUCCCGGUUUAAGCGUGUAGGCUGGUUUUCCAGGCAAAUCCGGAAAAUCAAGGCUGAGGCGUGAUGACGAGGCACUACGGUGCUGAAGCAACAAAUGCCCUGCUUCCAGGAAAAGCCUCUAAGCAUCAGGUAACAUCAAAUCGUACCCCAAACCGACACAGGUGGUCAGGUAGAGAAUACCAAGGCGCUUGAGAGAACUCGGGUGAAGGAACUAGGCAAAAUGGUGCCGUAACUUCGGGAGAAGGCACGCUGAUAUGUAGGUGAAGUCCCUUGCGGAUGGAGCUGAAAUCAGUCGAAGAUACCAGCUGGCUGCAACUGUUUAUUAAAAACACAGCACUGUGCAAACACGAAAGUGGACGUAUACGGUGUGACGCCUGCCCGGUGCCGGAAGGUUAAUUGAUGGGGUCAGCGCAAGCGAAGCUCUUGAUCGAAGCCCCGGUAAACGGCGGCCGUAACUAUAACGGUCCUAAGGUAGCGAAAUUCCUUGUCGGGUAAGUUCCGACCUGCACGAAUGGCGUAAUGAUGGCCAGGCUGUCUCCACCCGAGACUCAGUGAAAUUGAACUCGCUGUGAAGAUGCAGUGUACCCGCGGCAAGACGGAAAGACCCCGUGAACCUUUACUAUAGCUUGACACUGAACAUUGAGCCUUGAUGUGUAGGAUAGGUGGGAGGCUUAGAAGUGUGGACGCCAGUCUGCAUGGAGCCGACCUUGAAAUACCACCCUUUAAUGUUUGAUGUUCUAACGUUGACCCCUAAUCGGGGUUGCGGACAGUGUCUGGUGGGUAGUUUGACUGGGGCGGUCUCCUCCUAAAGAGUAACGGAGGAGCACGAAGGU
rnacentral:rRNA from 1 species